rnacentral:tRNA from 1 species
GCUGAAAUUCUUUCUUAAACUAUUCCUUG